UAAUACGAAGGGUGCUAGCGUUGUUCGGAAUUACUGGGCGUAAAGCGUACGUAGGCGGCUUUGUAAGUCGAUUGUGAAAGCCCCGAGCUCAACUCGGGAAUUGCAACCGAAACUGCUUUGCUUGAGUUUGGUGGGGGAUGGUGGAAUUUCUAGUGUAGGGGUGAAAUCCGUAGAUAUUAGAAGGAAUACCGGUGGCGAAAGCGACCAUCUACGCCAAUACUGACGCUAAGGUACGAAAGCGUGGGGAGCAAACAGG
rnacentral:rRNA from 1 species